rnacentral:snoRNA from 1 species
UUUGGCGAAUGAUGAUAUAAUUUGCGUUUGAGUGGGAUAGGUACCGAAACACGCCUAGUUUCACUAUGGGCCUAUCUCGAAAUGCAAACAACCUUUAUUCUGACCCGACC